AUUUACUAAAGUAUCUGUGAUGUUUUCCUUUUUUGCUCAGGGAUAAUGGGGAUUUCCUUUUACCUUUUGAGUUAGAAUUUUUUAAGUGGAGAGACUAGGCCUUUUAAAUAUUAUCACAAGGGUCCAUAGUAUAACCUAGAACUCCAGCUCAUACUGCACAUAUUUCUUUAAAUUGUACAGGAAAAUGAGCCAACUUAUUUCUUAACAUCUUUUGAAAGAAAUUUAAUGAGUAAGUAAUUUUAUAACACUGAGGGAUCAUCAAAGAUACUAUUCUGUCCUGAUACCUGGUAGAGGAAAAAAAAUCUUGUUUCCUUAUUACAAGGCGAGGAGACAUGCUUAUUUUAUUCCUGAUAAUUUACAGAACUAGAAGAAAUUUUUUUUCUUUCUUAUGAACCUAAAUCUGCCAAUUGGAGUUUUGUUCAUGAAAUAUGAAGUUACUUUUUAUAGAGAAUAAGUGCUUUUAAGUCACUAAAAGUCUCCUCACUAAGUAAUGAUGUUGAUAAUAAAAGCCUUUGAAAGACUGAAAACCUAAGUAGUGGUACCAUAGCAUUUGGUGCUUCUGUAGGAGUGGAGAGUGGCAGCUCGUUGUUGAGAGUUGCAUGCUGCAGUCUAAUGGUCAACAGUAAAAUAAAUACUUCUAGAAUGUUCA